rnacentral:rRNA from 1 species
CCUACGGGAGGCAGCAGUAAGGAAUAUUGGUCAAUGGACGCAAGUCUGAACCAGCCAUGCCGCGUGAAGGAUUAAGGCCCUCUGGGUUGUAAACUUCUUUUAUAGGGGACGAAAAAAGGGCAUUCUUGCUCACUUGACGGUACCCUAGGAAUAAGCACCGGCUAACUCCGUGCCAGCAGCCGCGGUAAUACGGAGGGUGCAAGCGUUAUCCGGAUUUACUGGGUUUAAAGGGUGCGUAGGUGGGUUGGUAAGUCAGUGGUGAAAUCUUCGAGCUUAACUCGGAAACUGCCAUUGAUACUAUCAAUCUUGAAUCAUCUAGAGGUAAGCGGAAUAUGUCAUGUAGCGGUGAAAUGCUUAGAUAUGACAUAGAACACCAAUUGCGAAGGCAGCUUACUAUGGAUGCAUUGACACUGAGGCACGAAAGCGUGGGGAUCAAACAGGAUUAGAUACCCUGGUAGUCCACGCCCUAAACCGAUGGAUACUCGACAUUUGUGAUAUACAAUAAGUGUCUGAGCGAAAGCAUUAAGUAUCCACCUGGGAAGUACGACCGCAAGGUUGAAACUUCAAAUUGAAUUGACGGG